rnacentral:rRNA from 1 species
AACGAACGCUGGCGGCAUGCCUAACACAUGCAAGUCGAACGAAGGCUUCGGCCUUAGUGGCGCACGGGUGCGUAACGCGUGGGAAUCUGCCCCUCGGUUCGGAAUAACAGUGAGAAAUGACUGCUACUACCGGAUGAUGACUUCGGUCCAAAGAUUUAUCGCCGAGGGAUGAGCCCGCGUAAGAUUAGGUAGUUGGUGGGGUAAAGGCCUACCAAGCCGACGAUCUUUAGCUGGUCUGAGAGGAUGAUCAGUCACACUGGGACUGAGACACGGCCCAGACUCCUACGGGAGGCAGCAGUGGGGAAUAUUGGACAAUGGGCGAAAGCCUGAUCCAGCAAUGCCGCGUGAGUGAUGAAGGCCUUAGGGUUGUAAAGCUCUUUUACCAGGGAUGAUAAUGACAGUACCUGGAGAAUAAGCUCCGGCUAACUCCGUGCCAGCCGCCGCAGUAA